AUUGAACGCUGGCGGCAGGCCUAACACAUGCAAGUCGAACGAGUGGCGGACGGGUGAGUAAUGUCUGGGAAACUGCCCGAUGGAGGGGGAUAACUACUGGAAACGGUAGCCAAUACCGCAUACCAUCGGAUGUGCCCAGAUGGGAUUAGCUAGUGGGUGGGGUAUCGGCUCACCUAGGCGACGAGCCCUAGCGGGUGUGAGAGGAUUACCAGCCACACUGGAACUGAGACACGGUCCAGACUCCUACGGGAGGCAGCAGUGGGGAAUAUUGCACAAUGGGCGCAAGCCGGAUGCAGCCAUGCCGCGGGUAUGAAGAAGGCCUUCGGGUUGUAAAGUACUUUCAGCGGGGAGGCGUUACUCGCAGAAGAAGCACCGGCUAACUCCGUGCCAGCAGCCGCGGUAAUAC
rnacentral:rRNA from 1 species